UGGGGUGUAGCUCAUAUGGUAGUGUGCUCGCUUCGCAUGCGAGAGGCACGGGGUUCAAUUCCCCGCACCUCCA
rnacentral:tRNA from 1 species